rnacentral:misc_RNA from 1 species
AGAUACAGAGACGUAAAUCCCUACGAUCAUUCGCGCAUUAUCAUCCAUAGAGGCAGUGUAGACUAUAUAAAUGCUAAUCUUGUUAAGCUCGAACGUGCCGAACGUAAAUAUAUUCUAACACAAGGUCCGCUAGUCGACACCGUUGGCCACUUUUGGCUGAUGGUAUGGGAACAAAAUACUAAAGCCAUUCUUAUGCUGAACAAAUUGAUGGAGAAAAAGCAGGUCAAAUGUCAUCACUAUUGGCCGGAUAGAAAGGGCCCUGAAAAUGCAUUAAGAUUAAAUGAAGUUAACUUGACUGUUGAAUUUUUACGUUGUGAAGAGUAUCAGAACUUCUGCCGCAGAUGGUUCAAGCUAACAGAUCUUGAAUCGAAGACAAGCCGCGAGAUAUUACAAUUCCACUAUACAACAUGGCCGGACUUUGGUAUUCCCAGUUCACCAGUUGCGUUUUUACAAUUUUUAAAACAGGUGCGCGACUCUGGUGCACUCGAUGCGGAUGUGGGGCCCGCAGUGGUACACUGUAGCGCUGGAAUUGGGCGCUCUGGCACUUUUUGUUUAGUUGACUGCUGUCUAGUUUUGAUUGAAAAGGAAGGCGAGAGCAAAGUUUCUGUACAGGAUGUGCUCUAUGAAUUGCGCAGGUAUCGCAUGGGCCUAAUACAGACUGCAGAUCAAUUAUAUUUCUCAUAUCAGGCAGUUAUAGAGGGAAUCAAAUUGCUUAAGGAUCCAGAAUUUCUGAAUUACAAGGAGGAGCCAAUCAAUAGCAGUGACAAUGAGCACCACGAUCAGUAUGGCACAAUUGGUGGGGAUGUGCCACCACCUCUGCCUCCACGUACACAUUCCCUAGCACUGCCAAUGGCCGGCUGCAGCGCUGCCGGUGCACUAACGUUGAAUUUACAUGGCAAACCAUUACCAAAAAUACCGGCAAGCGCAAGUUUCAACGACGAACUAUACGCCAUGACCGACAAUGCACAACAUGCCAGCAAGGAUGCGUUGAAUAAUUUCAUAAACAACGAAAAAACUGCUGAAAACAUGUCCAACAGACCGCUACCACCACUACCACCACAGCCGCAACGCUCGCAAUCCUCGCUUGAACGCGUACAUGAAUCAGACAGCGAUGAAAAUGAGUUCUACGAAGACGAUAAUAGUGACGAUGACGAUAGUGAUGAUGAAGGACUUUAUAACUAUGACAAUUUGGACGAUAAGAACGCCAACGCCGUUAAUAAGCGGAGUAUAAGUAGUGAACGUGGUAGCGGCAGUGAUGGUGGCGGCGGCGGUGGUAAUGAGUUGUCAACGGAAAUUAAGCAAAAUGGCACUGAUGGCUCCAAUAGCAAUCCGCUCGUGAUCGGCAGUCCCGAAAAUGAGUUAAAACGGCGGAAACGUGUCGAACGACAGGCCAACAUCGAACAGAAAGUUAACGAGAUCAAGCGAAAACAGCGCGAAACGGAGGAAAGCAAGCAUGCGGCGAAGAAACGAAGGUCAUUAAUUACCUAUAUUGCGGCGGGUGUUGUUGUGGGUGUGAUUUGUGUGUAUGCAUAUUCGAAGCUAGCCUAAGGCCAAACAAGUUUAAACAAAUAAGGAAUGGUAAAUACAUAUAUCGGUUUUCGGAUUUUUUGCUGGCUGGGACAUCAAUUAAAUGCAAGCACGGUGAAAUGCCAAAUCGGGGCUUAGUUGCGCAAAUAAGGCAUUUUCAUCAACUCUAGUUUACAAAUUAAAGAGACUGAUGAUUGCCUUGAGUUUUGUUUGCUUGCAGAAAAACAAAAAACUCACAAUAAAUCUAGGCAUGCGCAGUAAAAACGUGUAAUUUCCCCUCGAGAUCGGUAAUUGGUACAAACUUUAAUUUUUUUGGAUGUUCGAAAAAUCUAAAUCCGAUAGAAUUUCGCGCCACCAAAUGAAAUGAGGAAUCAAUUC